rnacentral:rRNA from 1 species
UACGUAGGGUGCGAGCGUUAAUCGGAAUUACUGGGCGUAAAGCGUGCGCAGGCGGUUCUCCAAGUCCGUUGUGAAAGCCCCGGGCUCAACCUGGGAAUGGCAGUGGAAACUAGGGGACUGGAAUCUGGCAGAGGGGGGUGGAAUGCCGCGUGUAGCAGUGAAAUGCGUAGAGAUGCGGAGGAACACCGAUGGCGAAGGCAGCCCCCUGGGCUAACACUGACGCUCAGGCACGAAAGCGUGGGGAGCAAACAGGAUUAGAA